GCCAGGAUGGAGGUUGUGGACCAUCGUCACAGGGCCAGAGGGAUCCGGGCCGUGCCUGAGAGACCCGGAGGCCCCUGUCAGAUAAGAGCCAGGGAGCGUCUGGGAGGAGGCGGCCAGGCAGACGUCCUCGCAGAACCAAGGGCAAGAUGAAAAGAAUCUGAGGAGUGGACAGCACUGACCGCAGAGAGGGGGACAGAAGCUGCAAACAGGGAAAUCCAGAAAAGGAAGUCGUUAAUGUAAAGCAGACAGGAAAAGGGAAGAGAGACUGCUGUUCCGGAAGUGAGGAUCCCAGGUUGCUAUCAUCUGGAGCAAAUCCCACCCUGCAAGGGAUGCCCCGACGUUCUGUCCCUCCUCGGACGGACGGGAGUCUUCCCUGGCCAGCGAGCCGUCAGCAAACAUCAGUCCCCAGGGUUGCUCUUUUUCCAAUGCGUGGUUGGCCACAAGAAGAAAGCAAUCUGUCCCCUACUGGUGUGAGCACUAGGGGGGCUUUGCCCCCUGAGGCCCCAGGCUGAGUGCUCUGCAGUAUUUAUAUUUCUUCCUUUUACUCAAAGCCUCUUGCGCA